AUUGAACGCUGGCGGCAUGCCUUACACAUGCAAGCCGAACGGCAGCACGGGAGCAAUCCUGGUGGCGAGUGGCGAACGGGUGAGUAAAGUAUCGGAACGUGCCCAGUCGUGGGGGAUAACGUAGCGAAAGUUACGCUAAUACCGCAUACGAUCUAUGGAUGAAAGCGGGGGAUCGCAAGACCUCGCGCGAUUGGAGCGGCCGAUAUCAGAUUAGGUAGUUGGUGGGGUAAAGGCUCACCAAGCCGACGAUCUGUAACUGGUCUGAGAGGACGACCAGCCACACUGGGACUGAGACACGGCCCAGACUCCUACGGGAGGCAGCAGUGGGGAAUUUUGGACAAUGGGCGAAAGCCUGAUCCAGCCAUGCCGCGUGCAGGAUGAAGGCCUUCGGGUUGUAAACUGCUUUUGUACAGAACGAAAAGGUUUGGCCUAAUAAGCUGAGCUCAUGACGGUACCGUAAGAAUAAGCACCGGCUAACUACGUGCCAGCAGCCGCGGUAA
rnacentral:rRNA from 1 species